ACCUGGUCAGGCAUUUCAGCUUUAAUUACCUGGGUUGCUGUCAACAACCGAGAGCCCAGUGAAAACAAACCACUGCCGUGCUAUGUGAAGGGCCCUGACAUAGAACUCUCUAGUGUCGAAAUACAGCUCUUUUUCGUUUUUUUUUUUUUUUUUUUUUUUUUUUUUUUUUUAAUUCAAGGAUAUGAGGCAAGACAGAGAAAAGCAGAGGAAGAGAACGGAGGUGUCUGAUGCUGUGGGCCACUCUGCAAGUCCCUCCGUUGCCUGUUUCCAGCCGAAGGUUUACCGGUGCUGCCUCAUCUAUUCAUUCAGAACAAGAAGGCUCUGAAGGGCAUGGGCUUGAUGGCUACCAUCCAGUUCCCUAUGGGUGGUCCAGCAGCGUUCCAGUGUGGAUCACACAGAAUAGGCAGCUUGGACCACAGCCCUGGCUGCACCCGUCUCACCCAUCAGGGAGGACUGAGGAGUUGUGUAGAAACUCCAGAGGGACAGAAGCAUUCCCGAGGGGAGAGGUUCAGCGGCAGCAGAUCAGCUUCUCAGGGCCUCCAGGCACUGAGCUUCACCACGGAAUGGAACCAGCAGAGUCCACUCGCUGCUCUAGAGUGCACCUACAGGCCUCUCACCUGAUGUGGUAUUUUGCGGGGCCCUUCGGUGGAGUCGGUGUGGUGGUCCCACUUACCUGAGGUGGGCACACUGCUGGAAGGACUCUGCUCUGUGCACAGAAAGUCACUGCCCCAGUUCUAAGUCAGGAGGAAGAACGACACAGGACCAUCACUUACAUGCAGGAAAAUAUUGAAGUUUUGUAAUUGUGAAGCUCCUGGCUUCUGCGCCUCUUCCUCGUGCAGCUGUGUCUCCUUCUGCCUAUUUAACCCAGAGCCAUCGACCCCUCCUAUGUGCAGAAACGAACACCUGCCCCUCUUGGUGGCUCCUCUUGUCCUUGCCGCUAACACAGAGUGGAUUUUCCAGGUGCCUCCGCCAUACUGAGUGUGGCGGGAGGGGGAAGGCACAGAAACGGCAAUCCAAGGAGACUGCUGGAACACUGAUGUUCUCCACAUAUGUGCACAAUUGGUGUGCAGUAGCACCUCUCCACAGAAGUUUGACUGAUUUUUAUCGAAGCGUGAGUGACUGCCCAAGCCUUGGAAAGGUCAUCUGAAGAGAAGCCUGCUGAAGACAUCCCCCCUCAGCCACCGAGGAGAAACUGUCAGUCGAAACACAACUUUCACCUCAAAGGAAGGGAGGCUAACUGUCAAUCAAAACACAACUCUUGCCUCAGAGGGAGGAAGUUGAUUUUUCAGAAGAAGAGAGAGAGAAGAGAGUGACCAUGGCCCAGGAACAUAGAUUUAGGUUGCCUCAAAUAACAUGUUCCAAUGUAGAAAUGGUUCUGUGAAGUUUUUAUAGUCUCAGAACAAAAGAGGUACAUUGAUGGAAACGUCAGAUGUCUGAGUUACAGCGAGGAAGGAAAGUGUCCUCUCAGAUGCUACCUGAUGACAUUUUUAGCUUUGGUGCUCAUGAAAGCAAGUGGUCCACCUGUUCAAUCACUGUAUUUUUUUUUUAAGUUUCCCCUGAUAAUCACAAGGAUUUAGGUUGAGCACAGAAUUAGACAAUGAAUAGCUACUAAGGGGACUAAAAAAAAAAAAAAAAAAAAAAGCACA